UACGAGGGGGGCAAGCGUUGUUCGGAUUUAUUGGGCGUAAAGGGUGCGUAGGCGGUUUGGCAAGUCUUGUGUGAAAUCUUUGGGCUCAACCCAAAGCCUGCAUAAGAAACUGCCGGGCUUGAGUAUGGGAGAGGUGAGUGGAAUUCCUGGUGUAGCGGUGAAAUGCGUAGAUAUCAGGAGGAACACCUGUGGCGAAAAGCGGCUCACUGGACCACAACUGACGCUGAUGCACGAAAGCUAGGGGAGCAAACAGG
rnacentral:rRNA from 1 species